CCUGUGGAGUGUUAGAUCAAACUGUAGUAGCGAGUGGUUGGCAAGGCAGGACACGUAGAAGCAGGAA
rnacentral:sRNA from 18 species